rnacentral:rRNA from 15 species
GUUCACCCUUAGAAGCGAUCCGUGAGCUGGGUUAAUAGCGUCCAGCGACAGUUU